rnacentral:tRNA from 1 species
GGGGAAUUAGCUCAACGGUAGAGCACCUGCUUUGCAAGCAGGGGGUUAUCGGUUCGAAUCCGAUAUUCUCCA